GAUGAACGCUGGCGGCGUGCCUAAUACAUGCAAGUCGAGCGAACAGACGAGGAGCUUGCUCCUCUGACGUUAGCGGCGGACGGGUGAGUAACACGUGGAUAACCUACCUAUAAGACUGGGAUAACUUCGGGAAACCGGAGCUAAUCCCGGAUAAUAUAUUGAACCGCAUGGUUCAAUAGUGAAAGACGGUUUUGCUGUCACUUAUAGAUGGAUCCGCGCCGCAUUAGCUAGUUGGUAAGGUAACGGCUUACCAAGGCAACGAUGCGUAGCCGACCGGCGAGGGUGAUCGGCCACACUGGAACUGAGACACGGUCCAGACUCCUACGGGAGGCAGCAGUAGGGAAUCUUCCGCAAUGGGCGAAAGCCUGACGGAGCAGCGCCGCGUGAGUGAUGAAGGUCUUCGGAUCGUAAAACUCUGUUAUUAGGGAAGAACAAAUGUGUAAGUAACUAUGCACGUCUUGACGGUACCUAAUCAGAAAGCCACGGCUAACUACGUG
rnacentral:rRNA from 1 species